GGAACCCGAGCGGGAGAGCCUCCAGCGCGUCUGGAGCGCCGAAGGAGCAAGUACCCCGCACACUCUCAGGCAACGAGAACCGCUCGGGCGAG
rnacentral:ncRNA from 2 species